UGAGAGGAAGAAAGUUGUUCUCAGAUUACAGGCCUGGUUCAAAUACUUGCCUCAGAGUGGGCUCGGUUAAAGGUACUGGUAGUUGGCAACUGAUUGCCUAGCAGCCAAGAAAAUAAAGGUUGAUUCCCUCGACUGUUCACUGUCCCUUACACAAAUUGGUAUUCUGCCCAAAUCAGAAUAAACUGACAUCCAUUUAUUUCAGAAAGGAAUGUGUUAGCCCAGAAAAUAUUUCAGUUCUGAAUAGCUGCUGAGUCUCAACAAGAUCAACCAAUAAAAAUGAGCUAAUCCUGAGGAGAUGAACAGGUAUAUAAACCCCUGGCAAG